AAAGCCCCUGGUGUGAGCUCCAGAGCUUUUGUCCAGAGACAGAAGAGGUUCUUGGGCAGAGUGGAGUGUGGGAAUUCAGAACUGAAUGGAUGUGUUGAUACAGGAGGUGUUCUGGGCAUGAUGCCUGUUCGAUGGCAUGAGGAAAUGGCACCGACUCAGGUCUGAGCAUUCACUCCAAGCUGCAGCACAGCCUCAGGGUUUGAUAAGCUGCGUGCUGCUGCUGAGCCUUCCAAGGAGCUCACCAACAAGAGCGUCGAUUACAGUGCAUGCAAAGAAACCACCUGCGAUCUGAGGCCAGCAGCACAUGUGAAAGCUGGCUGAGGACACCUGGGCAGAUGAGAGCAAGCAGAGCAUGGAGUAUGCUGGCCCUUCUCCACGUGGGAGCAGUUACUUAGGAUAAAUCUGGGAAACAUGGUCCUUGAUAGCAAGGUCGGCUGAGAGGCACUGAGUCAGCAGCACGAUGUGGAGAUGAAACAUACCUGCAGAAGGGCGUUUUGGAAAGUCCUGCAAUUCUGCCAGAACUGCGCGUGAUGGAGGAUAAUGAGUCCUUCUAAAAAUAGCAGCAGCACCUCCUCAGAGGGUUACUGGGGCAGCUGCUGGAGCUCAGAAGAGGCUGUAAUUCAUAUGCUGAAGCCACACAGGGACGUUUGGGCUUUGUAAUUCCUGUGCCAUAAAGCAAAAGAAGCAAAAGUUGUAUCUGAAGAGCCCACAGAAAUUCAGAGGAUGAGGACAUUCCACUCCUGCUGUGCUCGUCAUGGAAGGAAGCACCACUGUAACCCAGGGGAUGGCACUGAGGAUUCUGUUGGCGCACACAGCACACCUUGCAGAAUAAAACCCAGAAUGGCAGCAGAGCAGCUGAUGGCCGUGGGAGCGGCUCAGCCUCACCGAGGGGUUCUGUUUCCUGGGACAAGAACGGGUGCAGCCUCCAGAGCUCCACUGCGAUAAUGCAAGCCAUGGGCACGGGCUGGGAGUGCAGCGUGACCCCGUGGGAACUUCCUGAGGGAAAGCAAGUUUGAGGGAGGGGCAAAGCGCAGGUUCAGCCCCUCUCUGCACUCACAGUGCUCCUCACAGCAGCAUCUAUACAGAAGCACUCCGCAUUUCCCAGGGAGAGGCCCUUACCGCAGCACCCCGUGC
rnacentral:lncRNA from 1 species